rnacentral:rRNA from 1 species
UACGGGGGGGGCAAGCGUUGUUCGGAAUUACUGGGCGUAAAGGGCUCGUAGGCGGCCAACUAAGUCGGAUGUGAAAUCCCCAGGCUUAACCUGGGAAUUGCAUCCGAUACUGGAUGGCUUGAAUCCGGGAGAGGGAUGCGGAAUUCCAGGUGUAGCGGUGAAAUGCGUAGAUAUCUGGAGGAAUACCGGUGGCGAAGGCGGCAUCCUGGACCGACAUUGACGCUGAACGGCGAAAGCUAGGGGAGCAAACGGG